CGCGGAGCACGGGCCGCUCACAACAAAAUAGUCCUGUAACAAACCAGACCAGAUCCACGUUUCUGUUCUGCUUUGCUCCGCCUCGGACCCAGUCACGGCCCUCGAACACGGAGGACAGCGAACAAUCUUACGGACCCAGCCGGUGUUCUGCAGAGUUUUUAUUAUAGAUCCAUGGUGUUCUGUCGAAAUGGGCUGCUCCGUCGAAAUGACGUGAUUUUCGUGCGCCUCUCACGCGUUCCACACAAACAAGACUCGGUUUACUCCAACAACGCAGAGGUUCUUUUUCCAAAUGUAGCUUCUUUAUAUUUAGCACAGAGUUUGUUGCAAUGGCAGACAAGAAUCCACGACCAGAUCGCCGCAAACGAAAGUCCGGGUUUGAGGAUGUUCAAAGAAAUGGAGAAGAAGAAAAGGAGCGAGACCAAACUGAGGUGAUUCUUGGAGAUUCCUUCCAGCGAUGGCGCGCACUGAAGCAGGAGAAGGGACUAAAGACGGACGCGUUGGUCGCUAAAUUUCUUCUGGACAGGUGUGUCCCAGAGUUUAGUGGCGUGAGGGUGAAGACAGAAGAGUCCUCACUGCUUCAACAAAGAGAAACUGAGCAGAGAGAGGACACACAGGGAGAGGACAUCAGCACAGAGGCACACGUCCACUCAGAGACUGAGGGAGACACAGAGCACUCUUCUGCUGACAGUGAUGAAGACUGGAGAGCUCCAUUCAGCUGUUCAGCUGCACACACAGACACAGGCCACCACAACCAAGAGACCAGAGCCACUGUGAACACAGGAGAGGAACCAUACAGCUGUUCAGUCUGUGUCCAGCUCCCCUCUCCAAGUCCUGCUCUGACUCCACAGAUUAAAGAAGAACCCAACAUCAAACAGGAGGAAGAACAGCUGCAAGUUGGAAAAAAGCGAUCCAUGGUCUGGGAUCUCUUUGAUCUAAUGCCACCUAACAAGGUACGGUGUAUGCUCUGCUCACAAGUAUUGUCUUACACUAACAAUACUUCAUCGAUGCUGAGACACCUGCGUGCCAGGCACAAUAAUGACCAGAGCCAGCAGUCCUCCACAACCCUGGCAACAGCGGCCAUUAUCCUCAUGUCUCCAAAAAGAAGAUGCUAGAUGAGGCCAUUGUUGACAUGAUUAUUAAAGAUGGCCAACCGUUCUCUAUGGUUGAAGGAGAGGGAUUCACCAACCUGAUGAAAAUAUCAGAUCCUCAGUACAAAGUUCCAUGCCGCAAAACUGUAAAAACAAUGGUGGAAAAACGCUACCAACAAAACAAAAAGAAGGCUGAAGAAGAUUUAAAGAAAGCUUCUGCUGUGAGUUUGACCGCAGACAUGUGGACGUCCACAAAUAUGGACGCAUACCUGGGUGUGACCUGUCAUUAUCUUUCUGAUGACCUUGAAUUAUCAACUGUACUUUUAGGGGUACAGUACUUUCCCGUGACCCACACAGCAGCUCAUAUUGCAGAAGCAGCAUCGACGAUGAUGGCCGAGUGGGGAAUAGCCGAUAAAGUGUGUGCCGUGGUUACUGAUGGGGCCCGCAACAUUGUGACAAGUGUUAAUCGUUUAUCAAUUCAAAAUAUUCAUUGUUUUGCUCACUUGUUGAAUCUUGUUGUAAAAAAAUCUAUUUCCCAAACGUCCGAGCUGGAAACAAUGCGCAGCAAAGCUCGCAAAAUUGUUGGCCACUUUAAAUCAAACUGUACAGCAAAGGAGAAGCUGGCUGUCACUCAAUCCAACAUGGGCAUGCCACAGUUGAAGCUGGUCCAGGAGGUAGAAACCAGGUGGAAUAGCACCUUUGCCAUGUUUCAAACGAUGUAUGAGCAGAGGGAACCACUUGGCGCUGCCCUUGCAUCCCUGACAUCAACGUCCAACUUAACACCGUUUAGCGCUGAGGAUUAUGAUGCAAUAAACCAGUGCUUAAAGGUGUUGAGGCCGUUCAACCAAGCAACAUUGGAGCUGUGUGGGGAGAACAGUGUGUCAGGGUCUAAAGUCAUACCCAUUACAAAAAUGUUAACUCAUGUAAUUACUGUUGAGUGCACCCAGAUGGAUGAUGGUGUUGGAGCUACACUAGCCACCCACCUAAAAAAUAAUCUAAAACAGAAAAUGAGCGGCUUGGAGAAAGUCCCCUCCCUGUCGUUUGGCAACUAUACUGGAUCCACGUUUCAAAGAAGUUGCAUUUUGCAGCCCGUCCAAUGCGCAGGCCGCGGUUGAGAGACUGUCACGGGAAUGUGCCAGCUUGAUUGAACUCAAGACUCAGGGUGAAGUUCAACCACAGCCCUCUCCAGCCCCGAGUGACGAUGACAGUCUGUGGGCUUUACUGGACAGCCACGUCGUUGCUCAGCAAACCAGCCCUGCAUCUGCCAGUGCCACUGAAGAAAUCCAGAGAUACUUGAAGGAACAACAUAUUCCCAGAUGCGAGGACCCCUUAAAAUACUGGGAAUCACAUAAAAUACAAUAUCCUAAUCUGUGGAGACUGGCUCAAAAAUAUCUUUGUAUACCGGCAUCCUCUGUUCCAUGUGAGAGAAUUUUUUCCAAAGCUGGUGAGAUAAUGAGCCAAAAAAGAUGUAGACUAAAGCCUUCAACUGUAGAAAAACUUCUAUUUCUUAAUAAAGACAUGUGAUAUAUAAA